rnacentral:lncRNA from 1 species
AACUGUCAGUCUGAGCAAAAGAUGGAAGGAUCCCAUUCGUACGCAAGCCUUGACGAUGAAGACAUACAACAGGAAUCAGGUCAGUGGCUGCAGAGAUAGCAAUGACUGAGUGCUUGCUUAUUAUUAUGCUUACGGCUGAGCUUGAAACUUCUAGUUUCUUUGGAAAGUUAAUUAUGUCAAAUGAUGUUUUACUGGGGCACACAGGCGAAAGAAAAUUUUCUUUGAAGCAGACACAGGUGAAAGGAUGUUUUGAUACAGCAGACAUGUGAAAGGAUGCUUGAUAUAGGAGUAGAAAUAUGACUCCACAGAUGGUGGGGGACGAGCACUGAGCAUUGGUUUACAUGUAUUGGUUAACCUUACAAAGCAUUGAUGAGCUCAACUUGUGGUAAUGAUGACACCAUUGAGAGAAACUCAAAGAACUACUUGUGAGGCUUCUGUGGCAUCUUGCCACUUCUGUGGGCUCUCCUCAGGCAAGUUGGUGAACCUUGAGGUUUCUUCAGGAUUGAACUACAACUACUGGUUCCUGCCUAGUGUCUGCCUGCCGAGAGGACUGGACUGGACUGUUGCUGAGUCAUAGUUGGUGUUUGCUACGGGACUGAACUGCUGCCAAAGAGGACAAGCUUGCCUCAAAGAACUGAACAAGUCCACUUCCCCCAUAUCCUGAUAUCUUUUCUCUUCCACUACCUCUGCUGGGUGGUGGGCUAGAGGAGAGAUUGAACCCUUAUUAAAAGUAGGUUGCAAAAAA